rnacentral:lncRNA from 1 species
UGCCUUGGAUUGUCCCUAAUCAGAGUAAGUUCAAUCAAAUUAGGGAUCACAAGAAAUGGAGCCCCAUCAUUUUUUUUAUUUUAAUUUUUAAUUUUUAAUUUUUUGUUGGUUGUAUAAGCUAGAAUUUCACAAUGACCUUGAAAAGAUUGAUAAUGAUAUAACUUAAACGAAACUAAUACUUAAACAAGUAAUAUCGAAGGAAUUUAACAAAAUUGAAGAAGCAUAACUUGUCAACAAAUAUAGGAACCAAAGACGAGCAUAGUUGACUAUUUUAUGGGUGCUAGGUAUGUUUGUACAUUAAAAUUGUAUUUUAUAGAUUUAGCAACUAUUAGUUGUAGAUAACAUAUACAUGCAAUUCUUUAUGUAUAAAUAUUCUAUUAUAACACUAAUUUAUGAAUGAAGAUACAAUAUUCUCGCAUGGUAUCAUAGCCAUAGUCGAUUAGCAAGCCCAAAAACCACAUAUUGAAGCCACCUUGCAAAACUACUUUGCAAGUCACUCUGCAAAUCAUUUUGCAAAACCACUCUGUCAAAACCAUUAUAGCAAAAUCACUUACUAAAACCACUGGAUUUGAAACAGUGUCGAAAUCACCAUCAUCAAAACUACACAUAGAAAACCACCCAUUGAAACCACCAACAGAAGCCACAAUCUGGAAAGCCAUAUGAAACUGCCAAACCUCCAUCUGAAAUCUAAAAACCACUCGGCAAAACCGCCAGAUUGAAGAGUGCCAAUUGAAACCAUCAUCUGUCAAACAAGCUAAAAUCGCCUGAACUUGAAAUCUCAAAACAAGAUUUGUAACCUUAUCUCUGAAAACUUACUUUGAGCUCUCUAAAACCUACUCUCUCUUAAUCUUUUAGACCUACUCUGAAAUCUUCUUCGUUCUCCUCCGAAUCUGAAGCUCUCUUAGUCUCUGCAUCCUCUUUCUUGACUACGGUCUCUCCUCCAUUUUGUUUCUUUCUAGUAGGCAGUCUGCUUUUUCUUUACAAUGGGCCAUAUUUGGUUUUUGUUUUGUUUGGU